AUUGAACGCUGGCGGCAUGCCUUACACAUGCAAGUCGAACGGCAGCACGGGAGCAAUCCUGGUGGCGAGUGGCGAACGGGUGAGUAAUAUAUCGGAACGUGCCCAGUCGUGGGGGAUAACGUAGCGAAAGCUACGCUAAUACCGCAUACGAUCUAUGGAUGAAAGCGGGGGAUCGCAAGACCUCGCGCGAUUGGAGCGGCCGAUAUCAGAUUAGGUAGUUGGUGGGGUAAAAGCCUACCAAGCCUUCGAUCUGUAGCUGGUCUGAGAGGACGACCAGCCACACUGGAACUGAGACACGGUCCAGACUCCUACGGGAGGCAGCAGUGGGGAAUUUUGGACAAUGGGCGCAAGCCUGAUCCAGCAAUGCCGCGUGCAGGAUGAAGGCCUCGGUUGUAAGUACUCUUUCUAGCAGGAACGAAACGGUAGGUCC
rnacentral:rRNA from 1 species